rnacentral:rRNA from 1 species
AUGUAAAGAACAGGUUCCAAGUCACGAUCGAUUCCCUUCUCAAAACCUGCUGCAGCAGCUCGGGCUCUUCCUGCAUGCCAUAAAUGGCCCACAAAGAAGAAUCCUAGAACAAAAUGAGAAGUAUGGGAAAUACUUCAAGAAGUUAUGCGGGGACAUCCUGUACUGUUAAAUAGAGCACCUACCCUGCAUAGAUUAGGCAUACAGGCCUUUCAACCCACUUUAGUAGAGGGGCGUACUAUUUCUUUACACCCAUUAGUGUGUAAGGGUUUCAAUGCAGACUAG